rnacentral:rRNA from 1 species
UAAUACGUAGGGUGCGAGCGUUGUCCGGAAUUAUUGGGCGUAAAGAGCUCGUAGGCGGUUUGUCGCGUCGACUGUGAAAUCUGGAGGCUUAACCUUCAGCGUGCAGUCGAUACGGGCAGACUUGAGUUCGGUAGGGGAGACUGGAAUUCCUGGUGUAGCGGUGAAAUGCGCAGAUAUCAGGAGGAACACCGGUGGCGAAGGCGGGUCUCUGGGCCGAUACUGACGCUGAGGAGCGAAAGCGUGGGGAGCGAACAGGAUUAGAUACCCUGGUAGUCCACGCUGUAAACGGUGGGUGCUAGGUGUGGGCGACAUCCACGUUGUCCGUGCCGUAGCUAACGCAUUAAGCACCCCGCCUGGGGAGUACGGCCGCAAGGCUA